ACCCAUGUAGAUCAGUGGUAGAUCAACAAUCAAAUUUGUGUCUUGUAAUAAGACAUAAACUGCAUACCAAAUACCAAAUUGUGUGUCGAAGGUUCAACUCCUUCCGUGGGUU
rnacentral:tRNA from 1 species